rnacentral:rRNA from 1 species
UACGGGGGGGGCAAGCGUUGUUCGGAAUUACUGGGCGUAAAGGGCGCGUAGGCGGCUCAAUCAGUCGGGCGUGAAAGCUCUGGGCUUAACCAGAAAAGUCGUUCGAUACUGUUGGGCUAGAGUGUGGAAGAGGCUACUGGAAUUCCGUGUGUAGCGGUGAAAUGCGUAGAUAUAACGGAGGAACACCUGCGGUGUAGACGGCUUCUGGACCAUUGUUGACGCUGAGACACGAAAGCGUGGGUAGCAAACAGG